AACGGUCACAUUUUUCAUAUUAUUAUUUUUUCAUGUAGGUACUUUCAAUGUUUUUUCGUCAUUCGUUAAGUUGCGUGCCGCGUUCAGUGCCACCGAAAGUCUGUAUUUCGUCGUAUUAAAUGUUUAAGGUGGUACUGAUCGCAUUUUCGUGAAUUAUGUGUUUUUUCAUUGGUCAUUCAAAUAUUCAUUCGUUUUCGUAAAAAUCUCAUAUCAACUCAAUUACAUUUGUUCGUUCUUUUUUUUCGUUUGCCUCUCGAGCUGUUCGGUCGACGUCAACCGCAUAUGUUAUUUCAUCAAUUAAAUACAUUCAUUUUCGCUGAAGAAUCAUACAUUCAUCCAAUACAUUUAUACCUACAUAGUCAAUCAUCUUGUGCUCGUCUUCUGUGAAUAUUGCCUUCUGUAAGUAUCGUUCAGUCAUUUAUUCUGUUCAAUCAUUUAAUAUUAUUCCCCAAUUCAGGGCGCACCACGAGAUACUUACAGAAGCACGUGCAUUUUGUGUCGUUGUCAAUUAGUACACCGAAGCUCCACUCAGAAUCAUUUUUUUGAAUGCAAUACAUCCAUUCCAGUGAUCUAACCUAACCAGUCAAUGACGAGGGACACUCGAAACAUUCAAAUACAGCAAUGCAAGAUAACCGGGCUUAAAGGUUGAAAACUAUUACAUAACCAAAUCAUUUUCAAGCAUUCAAUAUCAGUCUCUCAUAAAACAGCUCCGUCAACGAUCAGCACAACGAAAAUAUUCAAACAAAGUAACUCAGAACAAGCAAUCGAGCCGUCUCAACUAACAUUGAGACCGAUGACCACUGUAGCAAGGAAACUCAUAAAAAAAAUUAUAAAUCAAGCUAUACUGCGGCGGUGAAUGUGGAUAAAGAAAAGAAAAAUUGUACAUAUUUCAAUCAGCUUUACUCGCACGUCAUAAUUACCUAAUUAACGCUCAAUGAUGAAAUGGUUCCAACAAGAUAGCGAAAAAUAGUUGUCCGGCCGGAUAAUAAAAAUGUAUGACGAUCGGCCGCGAUGAUUGUGGCUCACGUGGACCAUAAUAUAUUUUGGUCACCACUUCUGCAGCUGGGCGCACACUUCAUCACAAUAAUUAAAGUGUCGUGAAUGUAUGUAUUGUUAUGAACUGCGGCGGUGAGUGGAUAAAGAAAAGAAAUUGUACAUAUUUCAAUCAACUUUACGCACACGUCGCUUUAAAGUUUAAACCGUGAGUAACUGCGCUUCUCCAGAGUGGUAUAAUAUUAAACGCAUAGUAUAUUAUUAUUAUAAUAUGUUUGAAAAACUCUGCGAGGGCGUUUAAAGAAAAUAAUAUAUUAUAUGCUCCGCUGAAUUAAUUUUAUAAUGGAUGGGAGGUACCUACCCGUGUAAUAUAUAACACAUAAUAUGCAGGUUAUAUUACACAUAUUAUUA